GUUUUUAUAGUUUUAAACUAAAACAUUGGUCUUGUAAACCAAAAAUAAGAUAAUUCUUUAAAAACU